AUGAGCUGGCGGAGAAGAUGUCAGUGGUGGAAGCGGACAUGUUAUAGAAGAUGUUGCGGGCGGUACCGGAGGAAAUUGCCAAAUGGGGUUCCUCCGAGCCGACAAGAAGGAUGCUGCAGCGGCACAUAUUGGGUUCCAUUUCCAUCCAGAGAAGAACUUAUGAACAGUAUGUGCGCUAUCCAUUCAUUCUUUCGUUUGAUCCUUCCUUAUUCCCCUCAACUCAGAUUCUUUUUCUUUUGCAAUUACGCAUGGUUUUUAUGGAUCAAUAAAUUUAGGGACAUUAAUGGCAGUGAGAAUAUCAUAUAUCCAUAA
rnacentral:rRNA from 1 species